UGAGGAAUAUUGCACAAUGGGCGCAAGCCUGAUGCAGCGACGCCGCGUGGGUGAAGAAGGUUUUCGGAUCGUAAAACCCUUUUCUGUGUGACGAGAGAGGACGGUAGCACAGGAAUAAGUCUCGGCUAACUACGUGCCAGCAGCCGCGGUAAAACGUAGGAGACAAACGUUAUCCGGAGUUACUGGGCGUAAAGGGCGUGUAGGUGGUUGCGUAAGUCUGGCGUGAAAUACUUCGGCUUAACCGGGGCAGGUCGUCGGAUACUGCGUAACUAGAGGACGGUAGAGGCGUGUGGAAUUCCGGGUGUAGUGGUGAAAUGCGUAGAGAUCCGGAGGAACACCAGUGGCGAAGGCGACACGCUGGGCCGUACCUGACACUGAGGCGCGAUAGCAUGGGGAGCAA
rnacentral:rRNA from 1 species